CACUAUCUAGAUAGGUAAGAUAGCCAACUGAAACCGUACCAUUCGUCCGGAGUUGCUCUGGAGUUUCCAUUCCCAUGGAAGAAGAAGAAGAAGCAGAGGAAGAGGCACUGCUGCCUGCUGAAGUCAUCUCAUGGUUGAUCCUGGAUAAAAUAUGAUUCAAUCCCAUCAUCGCUAUUUUCAAAUAAGGACUGCAGACACUGGAAAGUUCAAUACAAAGGCCUCCUGUAUCUGCUUUGGACUAUUCAGACAGAUAUUUCCACAUGAAUCUAUCCGAUAAUGGGCACAAUAUCCGAACAACUAAGUUUUGUGCUAAUCUUGAGAAUGUUUGAAACUUUUAAUACUUGCUAAGAGUGGAAAUCUUGUUAAAUAUUAAGUCUGAUCUUUCUGCAGCACAAGAAUUAUAGUGAAGUUUUCGAGAACUGAUCCCCUUAUGCCUUCUUCCUCAGGAACCUCCACCUUAAAUAUUCCAGUGGGUCAUCGCACUGCAGUGUUUAAGGUGGAGGUCCUGAGGAAGAAAACACAAGGUUCAGUUCAUGUGUGUUUAAUACAACUACAACGUAUAUUUUUGGGGGUCACUGAGUUCACAAGUGAGCUGUUUUAGAAGUGUCAGACUUCGAUAUAGAGGGGUUUCAGAAUGAUGUGCAGACUACACAAUUUUGGCAUCAGGAUUUGUAGCAUUGAGCAGAGAGGUUAAGGAUGUACUUUAUAUAUUGUGAUCGAUAUGCUAAUUCAGCAAAUAUAGACAAUGUGGUACUGGGGUAUAUAUCUUAUUCUUAUAUUCUAUCUA